UCCCUCAGAACUCCGGAGCAAUAAUGAUCAAAGCAACUUCCUCUUCUGUUAUAAUGAAACACUUGAAUUCUUGGAUAAUCUGAACAUGAAACUAAGGUAAGAGUCAAAGUGUUUAAUUACAAACAAGCAAGAGAGGCUUUGAUCUAGAAAAUAGGAUUUCAAACAUUAUUUUUUCACCCUAAAGAUAAGAUCUGGCAUGACAGGUUGCAUUACAGAUGUAAAGCAAAAUCAUAGAAAAGUUCUGCUGCUGUGUUGUAUAGCCUACAAAAUAUGCUGGGGAGACUCAUUCAUUGUAUGACACAUGUCAGAAGGUCACUGUCCCCUCCAGCAGCUGGGAGCUUCAGUGUCCAGUCAGCUGACUGACCCACCCUACCAAAAACUGCACUUAAAGCUGACAGGCCACCAGGGAGCUCACUCUGAGGGCCAUGUCCACCUGGACCCAGAACAGAGCCCACAGUGUCAGUGGUGGAACUGUGACAAGGGUGUCAGGGAAGGGUCUCUGGAAAACCCUAUGCGUCACCAGAAAGCAGCAGGAGAAAAGUGUUCGAAGUUGCCAAAGGGAAAAAGGAGAAAUUACUGUGAAAGAUUCAUUCACAGCACACACGUGUAAGAGUGUGUUCAUCCAGAUAUUUCCCCUAAACCAUGGCAAAUGUCUCCAUUUCUUUCAGUGUUCCCCUGUCCCUGCUGAGAAAUCCUGGGCCCAGCAGGUCCUAUUAGGAGCCACUAGCUGGGGGAUUCCUGCAUCUCAGAGCAGUCUCCAUGGAGACUCAAAGUGGGGUGACAUCCGACAAACCGACAGCAAUAGAAAACUGCACCGGCACCAUCAGAGGAUCAGAGGGUGCUGUGCUCAGCUGCGUGCCACCAGGGAUGAUUUAGUUUAUCUGGGUGUAAAUCAGAUGUGA
rnacentral:lncRNA from 1 species